AGCGAACGCUGGCGGCAGGCUUAACACAUGCAAGUCGAGCGGGCGUAGCAAUACGUCAGCGGCAGACGGGUGAGUAACACGUGGGAACGUACCUUUUGGUUCGGAACAACACAGGGAAACUUGUGCUAAUACCGAAUAAGCCCUUACGGGGAAAGGAUUAUCGCCGAAAGAUCGGCCCGCGUCUGAUUAGCUUGUUGGUGAGGUAACGGCUCACCAAGGCGACGAUCAGUAGCUGGCUGAGAGGAUGAUCAGCCACACUGGGACUGAGACACGGCCCA
rnacentral:rRNA from 1 species